rnacentral:lncRNA from 1 species
AGCUGAGAUCGAUUACAUCAGAAGUAAGGGAAGAACAUCAUCCUGGCACCGACUAAGGUCCGGUCAUUCAAGACCAGAUCAGAAAAAGGGAACCUUCUCAGUGGCCCCUUCGUGCUCCCACGACCCCACUAAGAGUAGAGGGAAAACUCUCACUCAAAAAAAGAAAAAGAAAAAAGGGGAGGAGAUUUAAAAAGGAAAGCGACGAACUGCAUCAGCGAUGAAUGGAAAAUAAAUUACAUCAAAGAUGCAGGGAACCUCAUCUCAGCAAGG